rnacentral:rRNA from 1 species
CCGACGGUGAGGGGUGAAAGCUGGGGGAGCAAACCGGAUUAGAUACCCGGGUAGUCCCAGCCGUAAACGAUGUGCGUUAGGUGUAUCGGUGACCACGAGUCACCGAGGUGCCGAAGAGAAAUCGUGAAACGUACCGCCUGGGAAGUACGGUCGCAAGGCUGAAACUUAAAGGAAUUGGCGGGGGAGCACCACAACAGGUGGAGCCUGCGGUUUAAUCGGACUCAACGCCGGGAAACUCACCAGAUAAGACAGCUGAAUGAUAGUCGGGCCGAAGACUCUACUUGACUAGCUGAGAGGAGGUGCAUGGCCGUCGUCAGUUCGUACUGUGAAGCAUCCUGUUAAGUCAGGCAACGAGCGAGACCCACGCCAACAGUUGCU